rnacentral:rRNA from 1 species
AUUGGACGCUGGCGGCAUGCUUUACACAUGCAAGUCGAACGGUAACAGGCCGCAAGGUGCUGACGAGUGGCGAACGGGUGAGUAAUGCAUCGGAACGUGCCCAGUCGUGGGGGAUAACGCAGCGAAAGCUGCGCUAAUACCGCAUACGAUCGAUGGAUGAAAGCGGGGGACCGAAAGGCCUCGCGCGAUUGGAGCGGCCGAUGUCAGAUUAGGUAGUUGGUGGGGUAAAGGCUCACCAAGCCGACGAUCUGUAGCUGGUCUGAGAGGACGACCAGCCACACUGGGACUGAGACACGGCCCAGACUCCUACGGGAGGCAGCAGUGGGGAAUUUUGGACAAUGGGCGCAAGCCUGAUCCAGCAAUGCCGCGUGCAGGAAGAAGGCCUUCGGGUUGUAAACUGCUUUUGUACGGAACGAAAAGGCUCUGGUUAAUACCUGGGGCUCAUGACGGUACCGUAAGAAUAAGCCACGGCUAACUACGUGCCAGCCGCCGCAGUAACAC